UGUCUAUAUCUUUGUUUGUCUUUUGUUUUCAGUCAAUAUAUGUCAAAUCAAAGUUCAGUUCAGUUUCGAAGAUUUGAAAGUUUGUGUGAGAUGUUGAUAAAAAUAGUAGGAUUGGGAUAAAAUGUCUUUGCCAUUGGACAUUGAAGAUGAAUAUUUGGAUGAUCUUAUUCAGCUCAUUCCUACAGAUGAGAUCACUCCUGAAGCAGAAGGGUAUAGUUAUUAUCAACGGCAAUCUUAUGUGCCGGUCACAUUUUUUAACAACGAGCGUAAUAUGAGACUUUUGUCUAAUUGUCGCCCUUUACGUAUAGAAUUGGUAGACUGUAAAAAAGAAAAUUGUUUCGAAAAUAAUGAUGAUGACUAUUCUUAUAAUGCCAAAAAACAAUCAGAUGCAUUAAACGUGGAAACUGAGUAUGUUGUUGAUCGAAUUUCUUCGAGAGGUCUUACAAUAAAGCGUAAGAUUAAACCCAUAGACGGAAUAAAGUCGUGUAAAAAUACAAAACACAUUGAUUUUAAGAAAAACAUAGGUUUAAUAGGAAUGAAAGUUUCACAGACAUUUGAAAUCUUAGAUAUAGAUAGUGAAAGCGAAGAGUCACAAAUGAGUGACGAAAAGUCUGAUAACGUGGAAGUAGGUUUCAUGGUUAAUAAGAGUAAUAAUGUCUUGGAGAAUGAUACGGUUGUGGAUUCGGUCAGUGAGAUUUCAGAUACCGCAAGAAUUACAGCGAUAUACAGAAAAGAUUUGAAUUGUUACUCAAAUGAUAAUCAUCAGGAAAAAAAUACGUUUGUGAUGUCUGGUGAAAAACAGAAAGCCACAAAUGAAAUGCCUGUGUUGUCACUGGUUACCGAUAAUAUUGAUGAUCAAAAGCUAACAAAAUUUUCAGACACUAUUGGCAAAGACUGUAAUAAUGACGAUGGAAUUAGUAAGUGUGAAACUAAUGAUGGUACACGAAAUGUACAAGAAAGCAAAGUUAUGGAAAAUGUGCAAAAUAGGAAGGAGGUAAAUGGUGAUGAUCAUUUAAAUAACAUUUCAAAGGAAAUUUCAGAACAAAAUAUACAAGGAAAUAAAGCUGCAGGAAAUAUUCAAAAGAUUACAAGUGCUUUGAAUAUUCAAAAUAUUAGUGAACUUGAUGAAAACAAAAAUAGGGAAUCGAAAGUAAGCAAUGGUUCAACAUCGCCUAUUUUUCCUUGUACUCCCUAUAUUAAAAAUAAAAAGUUAAAUAAGGAUGGACAUAAUAUGUCAUGUCAGGUACUAAGUCAUCCAAAAAAUUUAAUUGAUAAUAGAGUUAAUCUUAAAAGAGUAAUUAACCCGAAGAACUAUAAUCAAAAUUCAUCUGAAAUAGUGAACGAUUUUAAAAAAGAUGUAAAUGAAUACAUACCGCCCAAAGAAAUUGUCACCACUGCAAUUUUAAAAGAAAAAUUGGCACCAAGCAAUAAGGCGACAAGAGGCCCAACACCCACUUGCCAACAAAUAAACCGCGAUACUAUACAUACUAUAGUAACAUCUCAAUCAAAUAAAACUUUUGAACGUGUAGUUCAUGAUGACCCAUUAGAUGAAACUCAUUUGAAAAUCCAACCUCGUCGUGAAUGUUUAAAUAUCAAGAGUGCAGCAGCUACUGUUUUUCAAUCAAAGACACCAAAUAAAGAAAAAAUAAUAAAAUUGGAUGGUAACAUAUAUAAAGACGGUUUGGAAAAUCAGAAAAAUAUCAAAUAUAAUAUACAUAAUGACACCAAGGUUACAGCGAAUGUCGAUCAUAUUGCAUCAAAAUUACUUUCUCAGGCAGUUGGUUCUGCUAACAAUAAUAAUAGGAAAAAAGAACAUUUCCAAAAUGUUAAUGCUAUGCAGCAGAGCUUUAUUGAAAAUGCUUCAAAUUUAGGACCGAAGCGUGUACAUGUAUUUCAAAAGAUUGGAUCUGCAAUAAUACAACAAGACUCUGAUAUAAAUUCUUCAGGUGUUGCUAAUAAACAACAUAACAUUUUGGCAAAACAUCGUAUAAGACCUUUUAUAGGAUCGAUUUCUAGUUGGCAAAAUAUGAGCAAUGAAUUGUUAAAACCAAGUGAUAUAACUCUAAAAAAUGAUUUUAUCCGCUUUAAUCCACAUUCUGAAAAUAAAAUUUCGUCAAUUGAAUCACACACGACUUUUUCACAAGUUACACCCGAUAUUUUUGAGAAUAAAAAUACAAAAGCAGCGAAUCAAACACAUAUGUUGGAUUCACCCAAAGAUACUUCAGCAUUUCAAAAUGAAGCUACCAUUACUGGAGGUAAUUCAAACAGGUUUUCGCAAAACUCUGUUGUUUAUGAAAAUGGCCAAAAAAGACUUUCACAAAACUCUACUUGUAAUUCCGAACACAAAAAUUCAAAAUCUUUGCCGAAUAUAAUUUCAUCACAUCUCAGGCAUAAUUGCGGUAUGUCAUCUUUUGGGUCACAACCUCGACAAUAUGUCAGACCUAUGAUGAGGAAUGAUGGUACACAAAUACUUAGUGUCAGAAACUAUCCAAAACACACAUAUCCAAAAAAUAUGAAUAACCCUAAUUCUCUCAAAAUGUCAAUGUAUCCGGGUGAAUGUAACAAUAAUUAUAAUUUAUAUUGGCCAUAUAUCUAUACAAGAUUUCCUCCACCGCCACCGCCGCCACCGCCACCUCCUCCUCCUCCUCCUCCUCCUCCGCCCCCUGCAUGUGACGGGAAUACAAGAGGUAAUUCUGGCUUUUCCCAAUCCCCUGGGAAUGUAAAUACAUCAGAUAAGAAUAAAGUUAAUGUUAUAAGACAAAUAAACAUCAUAGCUAGAAGUUCUACUGAAAAAACAAAUAUUGUGGAUAUGGAUAUUGAUAACAUAAGCCCUCUAAAGUGUCCACGUAAUAUAAAUAAUUCUACAAAUGUAGUUUCAAGUAAAUCUGAAAUGUUUGAAGAACUGGAAAAAGAAAUGAUGAAUAUACAUAAUGAGGAUUUAGGGUUUUCUAGGAACCAGCAGUUACAUGGUAGUGGAUUAACAGAAAGUAACAAUAUUAAGAUAUCUGACCCCAGAAAACAAUAUAUAGCACUUAAUAAAGUAAUUGAGAAUCAAGAGAGUGAUACCAGGCUUCAAGUUGGAGAUAAAAGAGAGAAAAUCACCAACGCGCUCAAAAGACCAUCCGAUACAUUAGUUUCCAAAAAUAAUGCUAAGAAAAAGAAGAAUUCGGAAAUAGGACCAUAUUAUACACUUGUAAAAGAAACAAAAAACUCAAGCCAAGGAUAUUCCCCACCCAUUUUGCCUAUACCUAGUUAUGAAAAAACUUUGGAGAUUUUAACGCGUGCUAAUUAUGAUGCUCAAAAAAGUAUCGAUGCCGGGGCUGAAGGUAAAGAAAAAUCUUGUGUAAAAGAAGACAUUAAAAACACUAACAAGAAAGAUAAAACAAAGAAGAUAUCUCUGGACGAAUAUAAAAAUAGAGGCGGCAAGAAACGGGUAUGCGAAAGAAAAAAGCGAAAAUGUGAAAAGAAAAACAGAUAUGUAAAGCAAUGUUUAGAAACCAAAAACUCUGAUCAGGAUCAAGGUUAUGAUUCAGAUACCACCAUUAUUCUUUGACCAGUAGAAGGCGUGAGUUGAUUUUCAGUAUUUUUUUUGUUAUCAAUUUAUUUGCAGUGCAAAUGUACUUUGUCAUGAGAUUGUUUUAAUAUUCGACUUGUUUUGCCUUUAAGCUUGGGUUUUACUUUUGUACAUUUGUAUGCUAUUAGCUAUGCUAAAGCUAUGUUAAAGCUUUAUUCAUAACAAAAUCUUUGUAUUUGAAUAAGAGUUGCUUUAUUUUAAGAUUUAUUCUUAUUGAGAAAUGUUGAAUGUUAUUAAAGUAUAUUUGUUGUUGCCAAAGUUGAAAUGCAGUUUAUUACAAUUUA